rfam:Coprobacillus sp. CAG:235 genomic scaffold, scf57
UUUGAAAAUAGAGCGCCAGGACUGCAUUGCAGUUGACGAGGACUAGACUUAUCGAAAAAUUCGGCGGAUGGUCUAGAGGUAUGAUACUACCUAAACGAUGAACAAAAACUACAAGUGAUUGUAAAACAAAUUCAUCUGGUAUCCUCUU